rnacentral:rRNA from 1 species
GACGAACGCUGGCGGCGUGCUUAACACAUGCAAGUCGAACGGUAAGGCCCUUCGGGGUACACGAGUGGCGAACGGGUGAGUAACACGUGGGUGAUCUGCCCUGCACUUCGGGAUAAGCCUGGGAAACUGGGUCUAAUACCGGAUAGGACCACUGCCUGCAUGGGUGGGGGUGGAAAGCUUUUGAGGGGUGGGAUGGGCCCGCGGCCUAUCAGCUUGUUGGUGGGGUGAUGGCCUACCAAGGCGACGACGGGUAGCCGGCCUGAGAGGGUGACCGGCCACACUGGGACUGAGAUACGGCACAGACGCCUACGGGAGGCAGCAGUGGGGAAUAUUGCACAAUGGGCGCAAGCCUGAUGCAGCGACGCCACGUGGGGGAUGACGGCCUUCGGGUUGUAAACCUCUUUCAGCACCGACGAAGCGCAAGUGACGGUAGGUGCAGAAGAAGGACCGGCCAACUACGUGCCAGCCGCCGCGGUAA